CAACAUCAUGGCUGCUCGAAGGAGGUCACUUAACCGUGAGAAGCUAGCUGCCAUGUUAUGAGGCUGCUCAAGCAGCUUUAUAAAGAAGUCCACACAACAAAGAAGUGAGGCCUUCUGCCAAUAGCCAUGCAGAUUACCAUCUCAGAUGCCCAUCCUCCAGCCCCAGUCAAGCCUUCAGAUGAUUGCAGCUCUGGCCAAUGUCUUGACUGCAACUUCACAGGAGUCCCUGAGCCAAACCACUCAACUAAGCUAUUCCUGAAUUCCUGGGCCACAGAGACUGACACAAUACAUAUUUGAAGGCUUAAGUUGCUAUAUUUUGGGGUGAUUUGUUACACAACAAUAAAUAACUAGUACAAAAGAUUACUUUAAAUUAAAAAUACAACAGCAGGAGUUAAAAAUACAAUAGAUGUUUAAAGAUAAAGUUGAGGAAAUCUCCCUUACUAGAAUAAGUGGCAAAAAGGUAGAGAACAGGACAGAUAAGAUUAGAAACCUGGAAGACAAAUCUACCAUAUCUAACCAGAAAGAGUUCCAGAAAGAGAGAACAGUAAAAAGGGGUGAGGAGGAAAAGGAGAAUAUUAUGAAAUAAUUUUGUAAAUGUUUCAGAAGACCGUGACUUUCUAGUUUGAAAUAAUCCACUUGGUCCUCAGCAAAAUGAAUGAAAAACCAUGGAAAUCAAAGCAAGUGAUUGUGAAAUUCCAGAAUCUCUGAGUGUACAGAAAGAUGCUGAAAACUUCCAUGAAGAAAAAAACAUGUCACAUACAGAAAAUCAAGGGUUAGACUGACACUUGACUUCUCACCAUAACAUUAGAAGAUAAAAGACAAUAAAGCAAAGCCUUCAAAAUUCCAAAGACAGAUGAUUUCCAACCUAUGUUUCUAUAUCCAGUCAAGCUAUCAAUCAAGUAUGAGAUUAAAUAGUCAUUUCAUAUAUGUUACUCAAAAACUUUAUCUCCAUGAAUUCUUU
rnacentral:lncRNA from 10 species